rnacentral:rRNA from 1 species
GACGAAGGUGGCGAGCGUUGUUCGGAAUCACUGGGCAUAAAGCGCACGUAGGUGGUGUCGUAAGUCGGGUGUGAAAUCCCUCGGCCUAACCGAGGAACUGCGCCCGAUACUGCGAUGCUUGAGGAUCAGAGGGGUGCAUGGAAUUUCCGGUGGAGCGGUGAAAUGCGUUGAUAUCGGAAGGAACGCCGGCGGCGAAAGCGAUGCACUGGCUGAUUUCUGACACUGAGGUGCGAAAGCCAGGGGAGCAAACGGG